UACGAAGGGGGCUAGCGUUGCUCGGAAUCACUGGGCGUAAAGCGCACGUAGGCGGAUUCUUAAGUCGGUGGUGAAAUCCUGGAGCUCAACUCCAGAACUGCCUUCGAUACUGAGAGUCUUGAGUCCGGGAGAGGUGAGUGGAACUGCGAGUGUAGAGGUGAAAUUCGUAGAUAAUUCGCAAGAACACCAGUGGCGAAGGCGGCUCACUGGCCCGGUACUGA
rnacentral:rRNA from 1 species